rnacentral:rRNA from 1 species
CAGGAAGAAGCUUGCUUCUUUGCUGACGAGUGGCGGACGGCGUGAGUAAUGUCUGGGAAACUGCCUGAUGGAGGGGGAUAACUACUGGAAACGGUAGCUAAUACCGCAUAACGUCGCAAGACCAAAGAGGGGGACCUUCGGGCCUCUUGCCAUCGGAUGUGCCCAGAUGGGAUUAGCUAGUAGGUGGGGUAACGGCUCACCUAGGCGACGAUCCCUAGCUGGUCUGAGAGGAUGACCAGCCACACUGGAACUGAGACACGGUCCAGACUCCUACGGGAGGCAGCAGUGGGGAAUAUUGCACAAUGGGCGCAAGCCUGAUGCAGCCAUGCCGCGUGUAUGAAGAAGGCCUUCGGGUUGUAAAGUACUUUCAGCGGGGAGGAAGGGAGUAAAGUUAAUACCUUUGCUCAUUGACGUUACCCGCAGAAGAAGCACCGGCUAACUCCGUGCCAGCAGCCGCGGUAAUACGGAGGGUGCAAGCGUUAAUCGGAAUUACUGGGCGUAAAGCGCACGCAGGCGGUUUGUUAAGUCAGAUGUGAAAUCCCCGGGCUCAACCUGGGAACUGCAUCUGAUACUGGCAAGCUUGAGUCUCGUAGAGGGGGGUAGUAUUCCAGGUGUAGCGGUGAAUGCGUAGAGAUCUGGAGGAAUACCGGUGGCGA